AAUAGAUACCCGUGGUAGUCCACGCCGUAAACGGUGGGCACUAGGUGUGGGCGACAUUCCACGGUCGUCCGUGCCGCAGCUAACGCAUUAAGUGCCCCGCCUGGGGAGUACGGUCGCAAGGCUAAAACUCAAAGGAAUUGACGGGGGGCCCGCACAAGCGGCGGAGCAUGUGGCUUAAUUCGACGCAACGCGAAGAACCUUACCAAGGCUUGACAUACACCGGAAACGUCCAGAGAUGGGCGCCCCCUUGUGGUCGGUGUACAGGUGGUGCAUGGCUGUCGUCAGCUCGUGUCGUGAGAUGUUGGGUUAAGUCCCGCAACGAGCGCAACCCUUGUCCCGUGUUGCCAGCAGGCCCUUGUGGUGCUGGGGACUCACGGGAGACCGCCGGGGUCAACUCGGAGGAAGGUGGGGACGACGUCAAGUCAUCAUGCCCCUUAUGUCUUGGGCUGCACACGUGCUACAAUGGCCGGUACAAUGAGCUGCGAUACCGCGAGGUGGAGCGAAUCUCAAAAAGCCGGUCUCAGUUCGGAUUGGGGU
rnacentral:rRNA from 1 species